rnacentral:lncRNA from 1 species
AAUUAUAUUCUCUUCUCAUUACUGUAGUAUGCAGAAGAUGAAUACAACUUGUUCUGAGUUGGAUUAGUCUUGAUGAAGCCUCCAACAUGCUCUUAAGUAAAAUUUGCUCCACAAACGCAUCCAAAUUAAAAACUUCUUCCUUUAGAAACUGCUUUUUUAAUACUAGAAUUAUUUUUGCAAGGAAGAAAAGAACCUCCCCAUGAAAAAUACUUCGUGUUUUAUUAGA